CUCUCUCUCUCUCUCCUGCUGCAUUGUGAAGAAACUGCUUGCUUCCCUCUCACCCUCUGCAGUUUCCUGAGGCCUCCCCAGCCAUGCGGAACGCCUGCUUCCAUAUCGUAAACUGCCUUGGAACCAAUUACCACUACCAGGGAGACAAACUAUUGCUUAGAGGAUGCUGACAGGAGCAGCAUGCCAAAAUUGGAAGAAUGUUGUCUCUCAGCUGGUGCCACGAAUAGGUCUUCAGCAGGCUGUUCCAUUCCACCAUUCUGUCUGGCCCACUGCUUCUUACAAGAUUAAGAUAGCAGAUCCCAUGGGUGUAGCUGUAGACCAAGACCUGGAAUUAACACAUCAGAAGAUUCUAUGAGGAAACCCAUUUAAAAAUAGGAUGCAUUUUUUUCUUUUCUGCACAGGGAGAAAGUUUAAGCUCUCCUCACUAUGAGUUUUCAAGUAUAAAAGACUUUUUCUUCCACGAUUUUGAGAACAACUGAGGACUCUUGUGACCAGGACAACAGGGAAGCUUGCAGCAAGAUAGCUCCAGGUUGGAUUCAUGCUUCGCACCCCAAGGGCUGCCAGCCAGAGAGGAGGAGAAGCAAUCACUCCUGCAGUUUCUGAACACUACACAGACGCCAGGUAGCUUCUUCAGGAGAACAGCCCUCUGAGGAGGCAGGAAGAGGAGGCUUAUCUUUCAGCAGCCGGAGCUGCUGAGAUCUCUGGGCAGAUUAAGCUCUCUCUAAUGGAUGGGCUCCAGCCUGGCACAUUCAGUGGAGAGGGAUCCACUCAUCCAUCAUCAACAUAAUAUGGUCCUCCCUGCACUUCACAGUGUCCUCUUGCUAUUGAAAAGGCUUUUUUGCCUUCUCAAGUUUCUUUGUCAACAGUCUACAGGAAGAAGCUCAGGCCGCCACCGGCAGAGGUGAAUGCAAGCUCACGUUUUAUUUCUGACUGCUUAAUCAUUGCCUCGAUCACUGCUCAAGCUCUGCCUUUGUUUCCAAAGGUUACCUGUGGGAAAACUUCUUUUUCUAUGCUGAAAUUAAUAGGGAGGCAAAGAUGAGUCCACUGAUAAGCAGAGCCUUAAAACUCACAUAGAGAAACAACUUUGCUGGAGUGUGUGUGAGUGAACCACUAAGGAAUCAGAUAGUGUGAUGGCAGUUAUCAUUGCAGGUUAAGACAUUUCUACAAAUAUUUCGACAUCUCCAUAUACUCACUCCUUUCCCCCCUGAGUGGAGAGACUCAGCUACCAAGAGAGGAAGCUCAAAAAAAACAGAAGCUUCAAACAAACAACCAACCAAAAAAAAAAAAAAACUGUGGGUUCAUCAGAGGUGGUAGGGAAGACAAAAACAUGGGAGGAGCAGCUGGGCACGGUGGCUCAAGCCUGUAAUCCCAGCACUUUGCGAGGCUGAGGUGGGUGGAUCACCUGAGGUCAGGAGUUCGAGACCAGCCUGGCCAACAUGGUGAAACCCCAUCUCUACUAAAAAUACAAAAAAUUAGCCGGGCGUUGUGGUACGCACCUGUAAUCCCAGCUACUCCGGAGGCUGAGGCAGCAGAAUCGCUUGAACCCAGGAGGCAGAGGUUGCAACGAGCCAAGAUCGCACCAUUGCACUCCAGCCUGGGCAACAAGAGCGAAACUCCAUCUAAAAAAAACAAACAAGCAAACAAACAAAAAACACGGGAGGAGCAAUAAAAAGGAAUCCAUGCUUUGAUUUUUUUUUUUAGUGAGAGGAAGGGAAGGCUGCUGCCUCUCACUUCUCCCUGUUUUGUUGUUCUUUUAAGUAGCAUGUGUCACUCUGUAUAUAUCCUGUCCAUGUGUUUUCUUUUAUUAUUAUUUGUCCACUUGCCUAGAAUGAAAACUCCAUGGGAGCAUGGCUAUAGUGUCUUGUUCACUCCUGCCUCUCCAGGGCCUGAAACAGAAGUAGGUAGACAGAGCCUGAAACAAAAGUAGGCAGUCCAUAAACUUUGCUGAAGGAAUGAGUGAAUGAAUGAAGACCCCAAGGAUGGACCUCAGGAAGAACCUUCCACUGGCCACUCAGCGAAAGGCAGCUGAUUCAGCACCUGGAGAAGACCGGCAACAGGGCUGAGUUUCCUUGCACUGCAGAGGAGGGGAGAGGCAAGGAGUGGACAUGAGCACGGAGGAUCCAGGGCACUCCCUUGAUGGUGAUGCCCUCGAAGGGCUGCCCCGUGCCCAUUGUACAGAAUGUGGAUUCCACCCCACGCCAUGAGAGCUCUCGCGCAGGCCCAGACCACUUUAUAAGCCAUAUUUCCCACCAAUUCCUGUUUCUGGAUCUGUCAGGUUAUUUCAUAUUUCUAGGCCCUUAGCUUUGCUUCCUCUUCCCUGAACGCCCUUUGCCCACAUCAUCCCAGCUCUCCUUCUCCUCCUGCCUUCUGUCUUCUCUUCCUCUCAUUUCUUGUCACCCAGGCUGGAGUCCAGUGGCGUGAUCACGGCUCACUACAGCCUUGAACUCCCGGGCUCAGGUGAUCCUCCCACCUGAGCCUCCCGAGUAGCUGGGACUACAGAUGCACACCACCAUGCCAGCUAAUUUUUAAAACUGUUUUUAGGGAUGGGGUCAUCUUCCUGUGUUGCCCAGGCUUGUCUCAAACUCCUGGGCUCAAGUGAUCCUCUCACCUCAGCCUUCCAAAGUGCUGGGAUUACAGGCAUGAGCCACAACAUCCAGCCCCUUUUCUCUUUUCUUACCCUUCUUUCCUAUUUUCUUUUCCAUUUUCUUUCCCUCCCUUCUUCUUUCUUUCCUAACUAUUAAGGAGUAGAUUGAAUUCAAGGUCUUUAUGUGUGUCAGUUUUUGUUUUCCAACAAAUAUUUCUUAAAAACCAACCAUUGAAACGUAAUGGUAACCACUGGCCCCUGUCUCCACCUCCACACCUAAGAAGCCCCAAAUCCAGAUGUGUCCAUUAAAAUCAGUCCAGAUCUUCUUUACC
rnacentral:lncRNA from 1 species